rnacentral:lncRNA from 1 species
GUACUAUAUAAAGUUUGGCAUUUAAAUUGAAGUUGGUCACAUUGGUAUAUAUGCAGUUGCUGCUAUGUUUAUUGUACAUACAGGCUUUGGGGGUAUUAGUCGAGGAAAAAGAAACGAUGAGAAAGAGGAACAAUGUUAAAUGUCAUGUAUUUAUAUGUUGUUUCAAUAGAAGAAAUAUGUACAAUAAAGUAAAAUAAGAGAAAAUAAGAUGUUACUGCGAGCAACUAAUCCUAUAUCUGUGUUUGUCUUGUUUAUAGCCUAUUGAAUUAAGAGAUAAAAUACUUUAAAUUCGGACGAGCAGGGCGAGGGAGAAUUUAAAUAAACUUAAACAUCAGUAUUAUUCUAAAUUUUCAUAAAUUUACUUAAACUUUAAAACACACAAUCACCUAUAUAUGUAUAUGUGUAUAUGCACGAACUACUGUAAAAGAUUAUUAUCUGAUGAAACGGUAUGGUGGUCUUGCAAAUCAAGAGCUUCUUCAAUAUACCGGUACAUACAAAU